UUUUCAGAGAGAGUUAAGAGGACGUGAAACCGGUAGGAUGGAAACGGAUAGAGCCGGCGAAGUCGCUCGUAUUCAGCCAAAGGCUCGGAGCUUCCCUGGCGUUGAGUUGCUAACCACUCUCAGCGUUGGUGUGUUGUCCCUGGGUUGAGGUGCAUUUACGGGCGUUUGCGCUGAGACUUGCGAGGCAGCUGCUGGACCCGUGUUCUAGAGGCUUCCCUCUGGGUUGAACCUGGUCGCGGCUGACGGUUGUUUGCCUUGCUCGUACGAGGUCUGGCCUACGGACCGGGGUGGUGGUGUCGGUGUUGCGCGGUGGUAUCGCAUGCGAUGCCUAGCGUAGUGCUUGCGCUGCUGCUUCGUGUUCCCAGGCCCACUCUCGGUGUAGAAGCCGGUCAUCUCUCCGACCCGUCUUGAAACACGGACCAAGGAGUUUAGCGUAUGCGCGAGUCAUUGGGUGUUGAAAACCCAUAGGCGCAAUGAAAGUAAAGACCCAGUCGCUGGGUUGACAUGUGAGUGUGGGUGGCUUCGGCCCUUGCACGCAGCAUGGUCCCAUUGUAAUCGCUUGCGAUGCAGUGGAGACAGAGCGUAUGCGCUGAGACCCGAAAGAUGGUGAACUAUUCCUGAGCAGGACGAAGCCAGAGGAAACUCUGGUGGAAGUCCGAAGCGAUUCUGACGUGCAAAUCGAUCGUCUGACUUGGGUAUAGGGGCGAAAGACUAAUCGAACCAUCUAUUAGCUGUUUCCCUUUCCCGAAAA
rnacentral:rRNA from 1 species